rnacentral:lncRNA from 13 species
AUGGGAACUCCUCCAGCCAGGAAAACCCCUGAAGCACCAACAAAUCCAGGGAAUCUCCUUGAAUCCCAUCAUGUUCUCCAUGGGACGGGGCAGCCACAAUUCCAAGGGGAUUCACCAGCACUGGGAGAGGCCACACAUCCCAAAAUUCCUGGGAAAGGACCGGAAUUCCAUGAGGAUUUCGGGACUCACCUCGAUCAGAAAGUCCCCCGUGCGCAAUCCCGCUCUCCAGGCGACUCCUUCCACAUCCACGGAUUCCAGGUACUGCAGUGCUGGGAAUGCCGGCGUGGGCGUGAACUCCUCGAUUGGGGUCUCGGCUGGAAAACACAACGGGAGGGGGAAAUUCAGGGAUUUCCAAGGAAAUUCCACAAGGGAAGGCCCAGCCUGUCCACAGCAUUCCAUAAAAUCAUGGAAUUACGGGGUUAUUCAGGUUGGAAAAGCCCUGGAGUCCAACCAUUCCCAGCACAGCCAAGGCCACCCCUGAUCCAUGUCCCCAAGUGCCGCAUCCACGUGGAGCUGAAAUCCCACCAGGAAUGGGGAUUCCACUGCCGUGCCAGGGCUGGAGAAGGCUUCUCCAGGAAUUUUCCCAUUAUCCAACCUGGAGAUCCCCUGGAACAGCUUGAGGUUGUGUCCCCUUGUCCUGUCCCUGCUCCCUGGGAGCAGAGCCCAAUUCCCACCUCGACGAUGGAAUCCAAGAUGGAAUCAAUGCCGGAACCAAUGAAGGAAUCAACAAUGGAACCAAGGAUGGAAUCAAUGAAGGAAUCCAAGACGGAAUCAAUGAAGGAAUCCAAGAUGGAAUCAAUGAUGGAAUCAACGAUGGAAUCAAUGAAGGAACCAAUAAUGGACUCAGAGAUGGAAUCAAUGAAGGAAUCAAUGAUGGAAUCAAGGAUGGAAUCAAUGAAGGAAUUCAAGAUGGAACCAAUGAAGGAAUCAAGGAUGGAACCAAUAAUGGAAUCCAAGAUGGAAUCAAUGAUGGAAUCAAUGAUGGAAUCAAUGAAGGAACCAAUAAUGAACUCAGAGAUGGAAUCAAUGAAGGAAUCAAUGAUGGAAUCAACAAUGGAAUCAAUGAAGGAAUCCAAGAUGGAAUCAACGAUGGAAUCAAUGAUGAAGUACAAGAUGGAAUCAAUGAUGGAAUCAAUGCUGGAAUCAAGGAUGGAAUCAGUGAAGGAAUCCAAGGCUGGAAUCCAAGGCUGGAAUCCGAGAUGGAAUCAAUGA